rnacentral:rRNA from 1 species
UACGGAGGGUGCGAGCGUUGUCCGGAAUCACUGGGCGUAAAGGGCGCGUAGGCGGCCUGAUAAGUAGGGGGGUGAAAUCCUGCGGCUUAACCGCAGGGCUGCCUUCUAAACUGUCAGGCUAGAGCACGGUAGAGGCAGAUGGAAUUCCCGGUGUAGCGGUGGAAUGCGUAGAGAUCGGGAAGAACAUCAGUGGCGAAAGCGACUUCCUGGACCAAUACUGACGCUCAUGUGCGAAAGCGUGGGGAGCAAACAGG